GGCCACUGUGGGGAGACACAGGGAGAGAAGAGUAAGUCAGGAUCAGGUGGCCGUGCUGUGUCCUCAGUGCUGGGCCCUCCUGCCCUCCCUAUUGGCUGCGCUCCACAUCCUUCAAUUCUUGGCCCUGGUAAUACCACAGGCCAUCCCAGAGAAAGCCUUUGUGGUGUAGUCAUACCAGUUACUCAGGUUUCUCAGUAGCCUCUCAGACUCCUGAUGGGCCCCAGCUUUACAGACUGGAUAAGCAGCCUAUAGGCAGACCCAGGGCCUUGUACAGACAUCCAGCCAGGGUAGGGCAUGGAGUAGUAUUUGGGAGUCCAGGGACCACAGUCUUCUGCAGUCACUGCCUCCUAUACUGCCGACCCUGUGGUCCCCUCAAAGAUGCUGAUGCACUUAGAGCAGAGGGAGAACUGAGGGAAGAGGUUGAGGAUGGGCUGGUGUGCUUUGCUGAAGGACUCUGGCCUCUCCAGGGAUUACACUCACCCUGACCCUUGCCCUUGACCUCCACUCACCUGGGGUUCUCCCCUCUGCCAAAGGACAUGGUCAUCUGUGUGUCUGUCUUUCAGGAGCAGAACAGAAACAUGAAGUGUGUGGCCGACUGGUACCAUUUUUCCUGUGUCUAAAAGGGGCCAGCCUGGUAGACCCAUCAUUCUAGACCCAGAACCCAGGUGACAGGUUCCGCCAUGUAACAGAAUGUCCAGAGGGAUCCUUUGACCCUUUCUGUGACACAAAGAAGCUCCACUGUACUUUUCUAGAAGACGCUCCCACCUCUUCCCUCCUCAAAUGCCCUGGAUGGAGACUUUGUUGUUCUACUGUAGGGAAACAAAUGGAGUAGGGUCCUGAUCUAAGAGGGCUGGGAUGCCUGGAGGACUGUGAGGGGACCUGAGAUGGCUCGACCAGACGGAGUUCCAACUGAACUUUCUUGGGAUGUCAGGAUCCUGGUGAAAUGAGGCACACCAGGACAGUGGGGCUCUGUCCCCACCUCACUCAACCCACAUAUCCCAGUGUUGGGAUAAGCACCCAAGAGCAACAAGAGCAUAGGGGUGGGGAGUUCAGGGUGGGAUGGACAUACGCCACCUUCCUUUGUUCAUAUUCUCUUGGCAGCUAUUUACAGCAGUCUAUACGGUAUCCUGGAACCAGUGUUCACAGCAUGGGCAGCGGACUCGUAUAGUACUGGGCCCCAUAGCUCUCAGCACUGACUACUCAUGAACUAUGUCUUCAUUGGGACCUUUUGAAGCAGUUACUAUUAUUAGCUCCAUUUUCUAGAUGGGAAAACCAAGGCAUAGGAAUACUCAGGGUUUCCAGAGACUUCAGCAGCUACAGCCAGGGGCAGUGGUUCAUUCCCCAGGAAGCCUCUUUCUUCUCUCUCUUCCUGCCUCAACACAGCCAGCACCCACAAGGGCCUCCAGCCCAGACUGCCAGAGAGACCACAGCUCCCUAACACCAUUGAGAGUGCUGACUGUGGAAUGGAGCUACAGAGAUGUCAUGGCCUGCAGACUCCCCCCUUCCCCCUCCCAGAGAGAGAAGAGGAAGCAGAAAGCAAAACAAAGCCUCGCUCCAUCUUCAAAGCCUCGGCCUGGCUCUGCAGAGGUCCUGCUGAUGCGAGCUGGCCAGGCUUAUCGAAACCUGACUUCAAGUUCAAAGGGAAGUUAUCAGACAAGCACCUCCAGGUUCAAUGUUGCCUUUCAUGUUCCACUUGAUAAGCCCCAAAGACAAGGAACCGCUGUUCCGUUCUCUCCUCUGGAGCAGUCUUGCUUCCAUGGUAGAGAGCACGGCUUCCUUCGGAUCCUCCCCUGCCCCUUCCUUUCUCCUCACCUGAGAUGGAAAGCACCCCCCUUUCUAUCCUCAUGUUUCCUCUCUAGAGAACGGAGUGCCUUAGACUGUCCUCUCUUCCCCAGCUCAUCUGUCAUGAUGUCCUAGCUCAUCAAGCCUCCAGGAUCCCCCUGGGUGGCCAUAUCAGUGAACAUUCAGAUCAUCCCAGCUAGACGGGGCAGAGCUGCACAGUGGGCCUGGGAAACAUGCUGCCAGGGCACACGUAGCUCAAUAGGACACAGCCUGGAAGUUACCUGCGACUCACUGCUCAGCUAACUGUGGAGUACCUAACCUGCUCGACCAUUCGCGGAGGCCACAGAAGAGAGGAAAUGCCAUUUCUACUUAAAAGCACUUCUUAGCCCAGAAGACAGCGAGAGGGGGCUGUGUUGUGGGCAUUCUUCUCUUUGGAAGCUGUUCUCUAUCCGUCCCACACUGAGGCCACGGCCACCAGAGCUGGCUGGCUGAUUUAGCAGAAGAUUCUCUCUAAGCGUCAGCUCCAGCCUGGCCGCACUCCACCCCCAGCCACUGCCAGAUUAAAUGCGUUACUUGACCGUCUUCACCCGGCUCCCUUUGAAGUUCCCUUCUCGAGCUUCAAAAUACCUUUUGGAGGGAGAUCAGACAGCAUUAAACAGAAUUACUAAUUAAUUAAGCAAAGUUAAAUUUUAAACACUGUUUGUUGUGUUAGCCAAAAGCCUGAACAGAACAGACUUCUUUCCUCCACUGAGAUCAAAGACAGCCUCUUUCCCUCUCCCCUCCCCCAGUUUAAAAAAGGGAAGGAGGAGGAGGAGGACGGAGAGGAGGAAGAAGAGAAAGGGAAGAGACUUGGGAACCAGGGAAAGGUGGCAACUGUGAUUAGAGCCUGGAUUCCCGAACCAUCCCAGGGACCAAUAGGAGGCACCUCUGGGAUCACAUGCUGGGAGAGGUCCUCAUCACUUUCUGGGGACUGUUUACCCUGGCAAACAGCAGUAACCUAGAGAGCAGCCUGGCACAGC